CUUGUGUGUCUUUGUGUCUCAUCCCCUGUAGCAGGAUAAGCAGAUACUCCUGUCUAGAGAUGGUUUAGAGGCAGAUCUGCCCCCUCCACCUCCUCCACCCCCUCCACCCAGACCUCAUCUCAACGACAAUAGGCCCAACGGUCAGCCGGGAGCCUGUGCGGAGCCAGAGGCCACCUCAGGAGACCCCCUGUCAGCAGAACCCCUGUCAGCAGAACCCCUGUCAGUAGGAGAGCCAGAGAGUCAGGACCCCGACACAGCAGACAGCUCUGGGCAUGUGAGAAAGCGACAUCGUGAGGAGAGGAUCGCCAGCACCUCCCAGAAGGUCCAGCAGAUGAAACAGAGACUGAGCGACUCGGAGAGGAAACGGGACAAAUGGCUAUACUGGAGACCCAUCCUGCUCAACGUGGGGGCUGGGGCAGCGGUGGCUGUGGGCCUGCUGGUGGUCUGGAUGUACGCCCAGUGAAACACUCUGGGUCACUUUAAACGGACUCCUAUUUUGCACCAGUACCUGGGAUUAGGUACUUCUCUAAGUAGAUGUAGAUGGUCAAAUGUGCAUAACUGAGGGUAUUUAUUUCUUACGGUCAAAAUGCGGGAGCGCUAGAUCAAAUGAUUGUGUGUAUAUUUUUCAUGUAAGAUCAAACAAACUAGUAACAUCUCAGGAUCUUGGUGCCAGCACGAUGAUUUCAUUUUAUUUUCUUCUUGUCACUCGAUGAAUGUACUGUAUCAUUGCAAAUAGCUUUGGAAGAAACUUAUUGAAGGUCCGGUACAAAGCAAAAAAAAACAUUAUCUAUGAUGGUCAGAUUUGUGUUGAUCAUCUGUGGACACGUUUUACACUUGGCUUUAUAAAAUGACUUGUGUUGAUUGUCCAUCCUACCAUCGAUAUGUAAGAAGACUCCAGUUCCUAUAGGCUAGCUGUGUGGUUUUCCUUCAUUUGUUUGUCUGUAGUGAAAGGUGCAUAUCAGACAUGCAUAUAGAAGUUUUCCAGAGCACCCCACUUGUUCUUCCAUUCACAUUAAGCAGGGCAUCCCAAUAGGGCCAGAUAUAUAUUUGUUUGUGACUGGACACUUCAUAGGGAGCUGCCUUGAUGAUGUUUCAAACUCUGCUAGAAUUGUAAUCUUAUUAUUUUCUGUUCUAUGAGCACCUUUUUAAAAGAUUUUGGUUGUCACAUGGAUCAUAUAAGCUGUCGGGUCCCUCACCGCUUAGUGUGUGUAUUUACCCACUGGAUGGGUUCAUGUGUGUAUGUUCAUGUUGUCCCACUGUUGUUUUUAUGGAAACCAAAGCAAGGCUGUCCUUUUUUGGACGGUAACAGCCAGGCAAGCUGUUCAGUGAUGAAACCUUGUACUCCCAUGUGGAAUGUGUUGUCCGUUGGAUUUCUGACAAAACUGCAUUACAAAAUGAUUCAUAUUAGCUUUACGUUGUGUGUGACUUCUUAAUUUGAACCGGUAGAAUCAUCACUUGUCAUUUGUUUUCCGUUGACUAGGACCAAUCUAAAGCUAUAAUGGUGCAAUUUAGAAGUUGUAGCGGAGAACCUUGGAUAACAUUUGAGUUAGGAAAGAGUGAUAGCAUACACGUUUGUAUCUAUUUGUUUGCUGGUUGAGAUAGCUUUUAAUGUGCCUUGAAGUGAAAAAAAUGUGUGCUCCAAGGUUUCCUAGUAUACAGAUUAAGGUGAGGAAUAAUAUUCCACAUAACAUGAGUAACAUGUUAGAACUGCAUUGACGGGUUUGUAGUUACUUGAGGUGUGAGUUGAUUGUAGACCUAAUGUGUCAUUAGCAUGUACUGAUGUCUGAGAGGAAAUUGUGUGUUGCUAAUUUACUAGUUACCACUGAUGGACAUGGCUUUUACUUAGUUCUUAUUUAACCCAGAAGAGACACAUUUGAUCAUAACAUUCCAUUCAUUCUUGUUUUCCACAUAAGAUUUCAGGGGAGUUUUGUAAACUGCUGAGCUGCAGUGAGAACAUGAGAGAUGGCUUUUGAAGACGAAAAAAAAAGCAAACAAACAUGAAAUACUUCUUAAAAUAAACAUUCAUCUUUUUUACCAAAUCA